GCACCCGUGGUGGAAUUGGCAGACACGUAAGAUUCAGGUUCUUAUGUCGCGAGACGUGGGGGUUCAAGUCCCUCCGGGUGCACCA
rnacentral:tRNA from 1 species